AUACGGAGGGUGCAAGCGUUGUUCGGAAUUACUGGGUGUAAAGCGCGCGUAGGCGGUCUGUUAUGUCAGAUGUGAAAGUCCUCGGCUCAACCGGGGAAGUGCAUUUGAAACUGGCAGACUUGAGUACUGGAGGGGGUGGUGGAAUUCCCGGUGUAGAGGUGAAAUUCGUGGAUAUCGGGAGGAAUACCGGUGGCGAAGGCGACCACCUGGCCAGAUACUGACGCUGAGGUGCGAAAGCGUGGGGAGCAAACAGGAUUAGAAACCCCAGUAGUCC
rnacentral:rRNA from 1 species